rnacentral:sRNA from 1 species
AGCGCCUGCGGCGGACCCGGCGCGCGCGAGAUCCCAUCGCUUCGCAGGCAGCGGCGCGCGUACGGCCCUGUACAUCCCGGAAUUACCGGGAUUUAAUCCUUUC